GAUAUGCUCUGACUCUUUUUUUUCUGGUGUUGGUAGCAGAGGCAAAGCCACGGCUGGGCCAGGCAGGACCUGUGCCCUGCCAGAUUGGCUAUUGGCCCACCCAAUCAGCUUGGCUAAAAAAAAAAUAUAAAUUUUUAUUUAUUGUUUGUAUUGUUUUUUAACAAAUCAGAAAUGGAAUCAAACACUAUCCCGCCACCCCACCUUCAUUACAAAGUAGGCCUAUAACUGGUUAGUUCGCUCUUGCACUUCUUUAAAAAGCUACAAAUGGAGGAUGAAGAAAAAAAAACACCUCCAUCGCAUUCGAGCCCAAUCCCUGGGAUACCUGAUAAACCGAUGAGGAGGCUAGCAAGUCAGACCAUGAGGGAGCUAGCAAAGCUAGCAAUAGCACUUCAGGCCCAACCAUUAAGGACUCGGGAGCUAGCAGGUCAGCAGCCAAGAGGAGGUUUGCGUUUCUACUGCCUUGAUUUCAACAACAGCCCAGGAUAACCAUCGCUCUGCACACCUGCGGAUUUGUCUGCAGUAGACGAACCGCCAACACAACCAAAAUUGAGACCAUGUUGGAGGAUCCACCCAGUCUGAAGGAGACCUGGAUGAGGAAUCACCAUCAUCCAUCCUUCCCUCCCUGAAGGGUUAUCCUGUCGCCUGAUUCCCAGACAACUAAAUCAUCCUCUGCUGACCAAGAUAAACUUCCUCCACUGCCCUUGACAAACACACGUUACUCCAACACCGAAACUGCUGCGACUUUGAGCAUGUUUGUGUGGCAGGAGCGUUUGAUUGCAUGGAACUUCACUCUGUAAAAUGUAUUAAUUGAAAGUGAGACUGAACUGUUUCAAUUGUUUUCCAAGUGUGGCAAUAAAGAAAUGUCACCAGCAAAUACGAGCUGAGUGAUUUAACAUCUAAUAUGACAGACCUUAUCCACUGCAUUGUGCUCCAGAUUAAAUGAUGUCAGAGGACUUGCUUAAAGCCAAAUAUCAACCUGCGACACUUGUUAGAGUCCCUGCCAGUUCCCUAUAGGCUACAACCAUUCAUUCUCAAGAACCUGGCUUAGAUUUAACUGUGUGUGUGUGUGUGUGUGGUGAUCUGGUAACAACCUCCUAGCCAACCAGUAGCCAGAACAAACCUGCCAAUAAUGCCAAUAUUCAGUUUGUGUGUGUGUGUGUGUGUGUAUGUGUGUCUCUAACCUGACUAUGUAAUGGGGACCAAAACGGUCCUUUAACUGUGG
ensembl:lncRNA